GCCGAACGGCGAUGCCGAUGGCAGAAACGGUUAAUAUUCCGUUACUACCUUCAGGAGUGACGUGGAGACGCAGUAGUGACAGUGCCGCCAUCUGACGGAAUAGAUGGUUGAAGGGUGUAGGAGUCGAUCAUGGCAGGCAAAUCCACCAUGAGAUCCGAACCUGACAGUAUGCCGCGUCCUUCGGGACAAGGCAAUAGUGCGCGUAAGCAUGCUGCCGAGAAAAUCCGCUAAACUUAAUCCUGUAGGUACCCGUACCGCAAACGGACACACGUAGUCGGGAUGAAUAUUCUAAGGCGCUUGAGUGAUUCACGGUUAAGGAACUAGGCAAACUGACCCUGUAACUUCGGGAUAAAGGGUCCCUACCCUUUUAUGGGAGGGCGCAGAGAAUCGGUCCAGGCAACUGUUUAACAAAAACACAGGUCUAUGCGAAACCGAAAGGUG
rnacentral:rRNA from 1 species